rnacentral:rRNA from 1 species
AGCGCAUACGGUGGAUGCCUUGGCAGUCAGAGGCGAUGAAAGACGUGGUAGCCUGCGAAAAGCUUCGGGGAGUCGGCAAACAGACUUUGAUCCGGAGAUGUCUGAAUGGGGGAACCCAGCCAUCAUAAGAUGGUUAUCUUGUACUGAAUACAUAGGUGCAAGAGGCGAACCAGGGGAACUGAAACAUCUAAGUACCCUGAGGAAAAGAAAUCAACCGAGAUUCCCUUAGUAGUGGCGAGCGAACGGGGACUAGCCCUUAAGUGGCUUUGAGAUUAGCGGAACGCUCUGGAAAGUGCGGCCAUAGUGGGUGAUAGCCCUGUACGCGAAAAUCUCUUAGUCAUGAAAUCGAGUAGGACGGAGCACGAGAAACUUUGUCUGAAUAUGGGGGGACCAUCCUCCAAGGCUAAAUACUACUGACUGACCGAUAGUGAACUAGUACCGUGAGGGAAAGGCGAAAAGAACCCCGGAGAGGGGAGUGAAAUAGAUCCUGAAACCGUAUGCGUACAAGCAGUGGGAGCAGACUUUGUUCUGUGACUGCGUACCUUUUGUAUAAUGGGUCAGCGACUUAUUUUCAGUGGCGAGCUUAACCGAAUAGGGGAGGCGUAGCGAAAGCGAGUCUUAAUAGGGCGUCUAGUCGCUGGGAAUAGACCCGAAACCGGGCGAUCUAUCCAUGGGCAGGUUGAAGGUUGGGUAACACUAACUGGAGGACCGAACCGACUACCGUUGAAAAGUUAGCGGAUGACCUGUGGAUCGGAGUGAAAGGCUAAUCAAGCUCGGAGAUAGCUGGUUCUCCUCGAAAGCUAUUUAGGUAGCGCCUCAUGUAUCACUGUAGGGGGUAGAGCACUGUUUCGGCUAGGGGGUCAUCCCGACUUACCAAACCGAUGCAAACUCCGAAUACCUACAAGUGCCGAGCAUGGGAGACACACGGCGGGUGCUAACGUCCGUCGUGAAAAGGGAAACAACCCAGACCGUCAGCUAAGGUCCCAAAGUUAUGGUUAAGUGGGAAACGAUGUGGGAAGGCUUAGACAGCUAGGAGGUUGGCUUAGAAGCAGCCACCCUUUAAAGAAAGCGUAAUAGCUCACUAGUCGAGUCGGCCUGCGCGGAAGAUGUAACGGGGCUCAAACCAUACACCGAAGCUACGGGUAUCACGUAAGUGAUGCGGUAGAGGAGCGUUCUGUAAGCCUGUGAAGGUGAGUUGAGAAGCUUGCUGGAGGUAUCAGAAGUGCGAAUGCUGACAUGAGUAACGACAAUGGGUGUGAAAAACACCCACGCCGAAAGACCAAGGUUUCCUGCGCAACGUUAAUCGACGCAGGGUUAGUCGGUCCCUAAGGCGAGGCUGAAAAGCGUAGUCGAUGGAAAACAGGUUAAUAUUCCUGUACUUCUGGUUAUUGCGAUGGAGGGACGGAGAAGGCUAGGCCAGCUUGGCGUUGGUUGUCCAAGUUUAAGGUGGUAGGCUGAGAUCUUAGGUAAAUCCGGGAUCUUAAGGCCGAGAGCUGAUGACGAGUGUUCUUUUAGAACACGAAGUGGUUGAUGCCAUGCUUCCAAGAAAAGCUUCUAAGCUUCAGGUAACCAGGAACCGUACCCCAAACCGACACAGGUGGUUGGGUAGAGAAUACCAAGGCGCUUGAGAGAACUCGGGUGAAGGAACUAGGCAAAAUGGCACCGUAACUUCGGGAGAAGGUGCGCCGGUGAGGGUGAAGGACUUGCUCCGUAAGCCCAUGCCGGUCGAAGAUACCAGGCCGCUGCGACUGUUUAUUAAAAACACAGCACUCUGCAAACACGAAAGUGGACGUAUAGGGUGUGACGCCUGCCCGGUGCCGGAAGGUUAAUUGAUGGGGUUAGCUAACGCGAAGCUCUUGAUCGAAGCCCCGGUAAACGGCGGCCGUAACUAUAACGGUCCUAAGGUAGCGAAAUUCCUUGUCGGGUAAGUUCCGACCUGCACGAAUGGCGUAACGAUGGCGGCGCUGUCUCCACCCGAGACUCAGUGAAAUUGAAAUCGCUGUGAAGAUGCAGUGUAUCCGCGGCUAGACGGAAAGACCCCGUGAACCUUUACUAUAGCUUUGCACUGGACUUUGAAUUUGCUUGUGUAGGAUAGGUGGGAGGCUUUGAAGCGUGGACGCCAGUCUGCGUGGAGCCAUCCUUGAAAUACCACCCUGGCAACUUUGAGGUUCUAACUCAGGUCCGUUAUCCGGAUCGAGGACAGUGUAUGGUGGGUAGUUUGACUGGGGCGGUCUCCUCCUAAAGAGUAACGGAGGAGUACGAAGGUGCGCUCAGACCGGUCGGAAAUCGGUCGUAGAGUAUAAAGGCAAAAGCGCGCUUGACUGCGAGACAGACACGUCGAGCAGGUACGAAAGUAGGUCUUAGUGAUCCGGUGGUUCUGUAUGGAAGGGCCAUCGCUCAACGGAUAAAAGGUACUCCGGGGAUAACAGGCUGAUACCGCCCAAGAGUUCAUAUCGACGGCGGUGUUUGGCACCUCGAUGUCGGCUCAUCACAUCCUGGGGCUGAAGCCGGUCCCAAGGGUAUGGCUGUUCGCCAUUUAAAGUGGUACGCGAGCUGGGUUUAGAACGUCGUGAGACAGUUCGGUCCCUAUCUGCCGUGGACGUUUGAGAUUUGAGAGGGGCUGCUCCUAGUACGAGAGGACCGGAGUGGACGAACCUCUGGUGUUCCGGUUGUCACGCCAGUGGCAUUGCCGGGUAGCUAUGUUCGGAAUAGAUAACCGCUGAAAGCAUCUAAGCGGGAAACUAGCCUCAAGAUGAGAUCUCACUGGAACCUUGA